rnacentral:rRNA from 1 species
CAGUAGCCGCGGUAAUACGAAGGGUGCAAGCGUUAAUCGGAAUUACUGGGCGUAAAGCGUGCGUAGGCGGUGAGUUAAGUCUGCUGUGAAAUCCCCGGGCUCAACCUGGGAAUGGCAGUGGAUACUGGCUCGCUAGAGUGUGUCAGAGGAUGGUGGAAUUCCCGGUGUAGCGGUGAAAUGCGUAGAGAUCGGGAGGAACAUCAGUGGCGAAGGCGGCCAUCUGGGACAACACUGACGCUGAGGCACGAAAGCGUGGGGAGCAAACAGGAUUAGAUACCCCAGUAGUCCCUGUCUCUUAUAA